rnacentral:rRNA from 1 species
GAUGAACGCUGGCGGCGUGCCUAAUACAUGCAAGUCGAGCGAACGGACGAGAAGCUUGCUUCUCUGAUGUUAGCGGCGGACGGGUGAGUAACACGUGGAUAACCUACCUAUAAGACUGGGAUAACUUCGGGAAACCGUAGCUAAUACCGGAUAAUAUUUUGAACCGCAUGGUUCAAAAGUGAAAGACGGUCUUGCUGUCACUUAUAGAUGGAUCCGCGCUGCAUUAGAUAGUUGGUAAGGUAACGGCUUACCAAGGCAACGAUGCAUAGCCGACCUGAGAGGGUGAUAGGCCACACGGGAACUGAGCCACGGUCAAGACUCCUACGGGAGGCAGCAGUAGGGAAUCUUCCGCAAUGGGCGAAAGCCUGACGGAGCAACGCCGCGUGAGUGAUGAAGGUCUUCGGAUCGUAAAAAUCUGUUAUUAGGGAAGAACAUAUGUGUAAGUAACUGUGCACAGCUUGACGGUAACUAAUAAGAAAGCAACGGCUAACUACGUG